rnacentral:rRNA from 1 species
AUUGAACGCUGGCGGCAGGCCUAACACAUGCAAGUCGAGCGGAGCGGCGGACGGGUGAGUAAUGCCUGGGAAUAUGCCUGGUAGUGGGGGAUAACGUCCGGAAACGGGCGCUAAUAACGCAUACUAUCAGAUGAGCCUAGGUCGGAUGAGCUAGUAGGUGGGGUAACGGCUCACCUAGGCGACGAUCCCUAGCUGGUCUGAGAGGAUGACCAGCCAAACUGGAACUGAGACACGGUCCAGACUCCUACGGGGGGCAGCAGUGGGGAAUAUUGCACAAUGGUCUAAAUCCUGAUGCAGCCAUGCCGCGUGUGUGAAGAAGGCCUUCGGUUUGUAAAGCACUUUCAGCGAGGAGGCGUUACUCGCAGAAGAAGCACCGGCUAACUCCGUGCCAGCAGCCGCGGUAAUAC